rnacentral:rRNA from 1 species
GAGGUAGUAACAUGUGGGUACCUUCCCUGAAGUCAAGAAUAACCAUACCGAAAGGUAUGCUAAUACUUGAUAGUCUCUACGGAGUAAAGUUUUAACGCUUCAGAACGGGCCCGCACGAUAUCAGCUAGUUGGUAGGGUAAUGGCCUACCAAGGCAAUGACGUCUAGAGGAGCUGAGAGGCUGACCCUCACCGAUGGGACUGAGACACGGCCACAAUACACCUACGGGUGGCUGCAGUCGAGAAUCUUCCGCAAAUGGACGAAAGUCUGACGGAGCGACGCCCGCGUGGUUGAUGAAGUACCUUAGGUACUGUAAAAACCCUUUUAUGAGGGAAAAAGUUUAUUGAUUGUACCUACA